ensembl:lncRNA
GGGCGCGUCCCCUCUGCACUGGGCCGGCUGCUCCUCCCUCUGCUCUCUGGCCUUCGGGCUUCCUGGUUCCUGGCCUGCCAUGCCAGCUGGUGCAGCUCCACUUCCUUCACCACACAGGAGCCACUUCGUAAUACACACACACCUGUUGGCCUUGGACCCUGGCACAGCCCUGACUCAGGUCCACCUCCCCCGACAGCCAUGCAAACUUCCUGGUACACCUGUGCCUCAUGGUGCACACCUUCCCUCACGGUGGCUGGCCCUGCAUCUUCCAGGUAAAUGUGGCCACGGCAUUUUCAGUUCCUUGUUCGAGAUGAGAAGAGCCUGGACUCUAACUACAGAGGGAGAGGCGAGCGGCCCAGAACCCGGCAGCAUACAGCUGGCGAGCCACUUUUAGAAGCCUACCCGGACAGAAAAGAUCUAGAAGCCACCUCUAGAAGGAGUCUCCAGAAUCCAAGAACCUGGUAACAAAACUGCUGUGGAGAAUCAGGAUUCCGCCUUGUGUUUUUAAUUACCGUAGUUUAGUAGAGCCUACUUAUUAAUUUUUAGAGCCCUUUUAAAAUAUCAUAUGUAAAGCAACUUUUUAAAAGCAACUUUUCGAUUUCUCAAUGAGAAAUUCAGUUAAUGUCUUUUUCUUCGAGUACCCUGAACUGGAAGUGAGCAGCA